GCAGACCUUGCCCGCCAAGAGCUCAAAGUCGAGCAGAAAAAGACCAGAUUGAGUGCAAACAGUGAUCAAAGCAGCGGCCGCCGACAUGAGACAAUAUGUAUUUUUAGACAGAGGCUCCAUCCCCACCUGAUCAGCAGCCGGACCAGGGAACAAGGCUCCUCACUGCGUCAAGGAUGUUUCUGGAGGGAGACGGCAGCAUGGCUGAGCAGUCAAAGGAACCCCACCCCCAAGGUUUUCGGUUGCCUGGACUCUCUGGGGGAAGGGCUGCAGGACUGGCAUCCACAGACCUGGGUUCAAAUCCCGCAUCUGAGGACGGCCCGCCUUGUGACCUUGGGAACGGAUUGCAAUCUUGCAAGCCUGUCCUCUCACCUGCGCGAUAGGCACGGCCGUGCCCGUCCCCUGCCCAUCAUGCCCUUCCAGCUGGCCUUUCAUCCCGCAGCGAACCUCUGUGUGUCCGGCUCAGAGUCUCCAUAAACCGCACCAUGGAGCUGGCCCGAAGAUGGCCUGACAGACGUGUGACCUGGCAUGGCUGGAUUCCACCCCGGUGGCGAAGUGUUAUUUCCUUUAAUGCACACAUAUACACACACAGCUGUCUGGAAGAAUUCCUGGGCCCAGCACGGAGCAAAAUUUCAAAAACACACAGAAGUCGAGAGGACCAGACACAGAUUCCAGCAUCC
rnacentral:lncRNA from 1 species